rnacentral:rRNA from 1 species
UACGUAGGGUGCGAGCGUUGCCCGGAUUUAUUGGGCGUAAAGGGCGCGUAGGCGGCCACGCACGUCCGUUGUGAAAUCGCCCGGCUCAACUGGGCGGGGUCAGCGGAUACGGUGUGGCUAGAGCAAGCUAGGGGGCAAUGGAAUUCCCGGUGUAGCGGUGAAAUGCGCAGAUAUCAGGAGGAACACCGAUGGCGAAGGCAGGUCUCUGGGCCACUACUGACGCUGAGAAGCGAAAGCAUGGGGAGCGAACAGG